rnacentral:rRNA from 1 species
GACGAACGCUGGCGGCGUGCCUAAUACAUGCAAGUAGAACGCUGAAGCAGGAGUUUGCUCUUCGGGAUGAGUUGCGAACGGGUGAGUAACGCGUAGGUAAACCGCCUGGUAGAGGGGGACAACUAUGGGAAACGAUAGCUAAUACCGCAUAACAGUAGAUGUUGCAUGACAUUUACUAAAAAGGCGCAAUUGCAUCACUACGAGAUGGACCUGCGGUGUCUUAGCUAGUUGGUGGGGUCACGGGUCACCAAGGCGACGAUACAUAGCCGACCUGCGAGGGGGAUCGGCCACACUGGGACUGGGACACGGCCCAGACUCCUGCAGGAGGCAGCAGUAGGGAAUCUUCGGCAAUGGACGGAAGUCUGACCGAGCAACGCCGCGUGAGUGCAGGAGGUUUUCGGAUCGUAAAGCUCUGUUGUUAGAGAAGAACGAGUGUGAGAAUGGAAAGUGCACACUGUGACGGUAUCUGACCAGAAAGGGACGGCUAACUACGUG